CUCGUCUUCUUCAACGAAGCAGCAAAAAAAUAUAGAGAAAUUCUUAGACCAACAAAAUGGCUAGAGGUUUGAAGAAGCAUCUGAAGAGGCUCAAUGCCCCAAAGCAUUAGAUGAUUGAUAAACUUGGUGGAGCAUUUGCUCCCAAGCCAUCCUCUGGGCCA